rnacentral:misc_RNA from 1 species
GAUGAAGAACGCAGCGAAAUGCGAUACUUGGUGUGAAUUGCAGAAUCCCGUGAACCAUCGAGUCUUUGAACGCAAGUUGCGCCCGAAGCCAUUAGGCCGAGGGCACGCCUGCCUGGGCGUCACACGUCGUUGCCCCCCCAUCUACUCCUUCGGGAUUGCGAGGGGCGGAUGAUGGCCUCCCGUGCGCCUCGUCGCGCGGUUGGCAUAAAUGCCAAGUCCUCGGCGACGCACGCCACGACAAUCGGUGGUUGCGAAACCUCGGUUGCCCGUCGUGUGCGGUCGUCGCGCAUCGAGGGCUCGAAAAAAUUGCCGGGCUCCGGCUCGGCUUUCAACGCGACCCCAGGUCAGGCGGGGUUACCCGCUGAGUUUAAGCAUAUCAAUAAGCGGAGGA